rnacentral:rRNA from 1 species
AUUGAACGCUGGCGGCAGGCCUAACACAUGCAAGUCGAACGGAGUGGCGGACGGGUGAGUUAUGUGUGGGACACUGCGUGAUGGAGGGGGAACACUUCUAGAAACGGUAGCUAAUACCGCAUACUAGCAGAUGAGCCUAGGUCGGAUUAGCUAGUUGGUGGGGUAAAGGCCUACCAAGGCGACGAUCCGUAGGUGGUCUGAGAGGAUGAACAGACACACUGGAACUGAGACACGGUCCAGACUCCUACGGGAGGCAGCAGUGGGGAAUAUUGGACAAUGGGCGAAAGCCUGAUCCAGCCAUGCCGCGUGUGUGAAGAAGGACUUCGGAUUGUAAAGCACUUUAAGUUGGGAGGCGUUACCAACAGAAUAAGCACCGGCUAACUUCGUGCCAGCAGCCGCGGUAAUUC